rnacentral:tRNA from 1 species
GUCGGAUUGGCCGAGUGGUUUAAGGCGUGCUCAAUGUCCGAGUCGCUCCUCCUGUCGACCCCGAACCGCUCUCCUACGGGUGAAACAGAGACAGUGUGUGUGCGCGGCUAGGCUCUUGCCGGCUGCUGUACAGGGGGGGGGAUGGUUGAUAAUCGCAUGGGUGUGUCCGCGGCGCGCCCUCGGGGGUUCGAAUCCCCCAUCCGACG